AGAGAAUUAGUUAAACAAUAAUAUAAGAUUGUCAUUCUUAAGUUGCCUAUCACUAAGGCAUUUUCU
rnacentral:tRNA from 1 species